UGAACGGCAGGGAAACAAGACUCUAUUGAUCUUGACUCUGGUCCAAUUUUGUGAAGAGAAAUAAAAGAUUACGCAUAAAUGGGUAACCCGUCAUUAAUAAAGUACCGGUACUCCUACUUUUCCUUAUUAUAUUAUAGUUAUUGCAUGUUAUAGCAUAGUUGUUUGUGUGAUUUAUAUUGAGGACCUAGCCAAAUAAGGAGUUUGACUGGGGCAGUACAUCAAAAAAUAGCAGGUGUUUUGAGACCAAUUCAGUGAGAACAUGAAUUUCGCAUACAGGAAAAGAGCUGUAAAAGUGCUGACUUAACCUUAGCUUUCAGUACAAGUGUACAGCGUGAAGCUCGGCCCCUCUAUCCUUUUGUUUAUAAACAUUUUAAGCGGUGCCAGAAAAGUUAUUACAGAAAUAACUUUCUCGACGCGACCAAGCAGUCCUAGAGAUGUCGCUUUUUAAUCCUUUGAUGUCAGCCCCUAUCGUUGUCAAGCAGACUCCAGAAAGUAUUGGAUUGUUCACCAACUAACACGGAACGUAAGCUCCGUUUAGACUUUUGUGAGACAUUAGGUUACCCUACUGCUUGUAUUCGUCAUAGACACGGUAAUUCUGCUUGGUACGAGAAGAACCGCAGGUUUAGCACAAUUGUGUAUUUGACUGAAAAAUCAGAGGCACUAAGCUACUAUCUACUGGAUUAUGACUGAACGCCUAAUCCAAUACAGGGUCUAUAACGCUAGUGUCUGGAAUGUAUAUUGUUUAUUCUGUAGCGGUGUGAGUGUAUAUAACUGAACAAUAUGAGCAAAUGGAAGUGAAGUAGUGGAUGUCUCCGUGUAGGUCCUCUAUCCUAAUACAUUUGGGCACACGGCAAUUUGCAAAUGACUUAUCAAUCGAAGUGUUGUAACUAGUAGGGCAGCAUACUGCGAUCUAAUGACACAUUGUAUUGGCUGUUUACUG
rfam:Tropilaelaps mercedesae isolate Wuxi-XJTLT scaffold0000002962, whole genome shotgun sequence.